AAUUGUGGUCUGUAGACUUUGACAUUAUCUGCCGGGCCAAGUUCCUUGGAAAAGGACAGCUGAGAGGGUGAGACUCCCGUCCGCCUGGCUGAAUGAGUCAUUUGUCAACGAGUCGAGUUGUUUGGGAUUGCAGCUCUAAUUUGGUGGUAAAUUCCAUCUAAAGCUAAAUAUUGGUGGGAGACCGAUAGCGUACAAGUACCGUGAGGGAAAGAUGCAAAGAACUUUGAAAAGAGAGUUAAAGAGUACCUGAAACUGCUGAAACGGAAGCGAAGGAAACCAGUGUUUGUUUGUUCAUAUUUCCCUGGCCACUUGUGGUUUGGGCGCUGUGAGCUUGCGUGAGUUUGGGUUGGUUGAUCCCUUUGGAAGAGCGCAGUCAGAGUUGAUGUCUGUUGCUAGCACUGGGUUUGACUGAUGCAGACGAAAUGGUUUUCUUUACCCCGUCUUGAAACACGGACCAAGGAGUCUAACAUAUGUGCGAGUACAGGGGUGUCAAACCCCGGUGCGUAAUGAAAGUGACAGUGGUUGG
rnacentral:rRNA from 1 species